rnacentral:lncRNA from 1 species
CUCUUACACUCACUUUCUAAAUGUCCAACACUUAGAAUAAAUAGGCCAAAAUUCAUAUUACAGUUAACUGACACCUCCAACUACCAGGUCAGUUUUUCUAGAUUUCCAACCUUUUCAUGUUAGAAACUGCCCACAACUAACCCUCAAUCAAGCCUACAGCAAAGAGCACUCAUAACUGCCACGAUGUACCUUCCAUAUGGCCUAAUUUUCACUAAAUUUGAGUACUAAAAUCAGCUGGACAAGAAGUUUGAAUUUCUGUUGAACAAAAAUCACCAAUCCAUCAAUAAAACGCCAAUCUGACUUGUAUCUUCGAAUUUUGCCUCGUGAUACCACCAUUAAGUAAAUAAGGCAUCUGUGCCUCGAUCAUUUUCUCAUCACAAAACCCGCAUGCCUUCGACCAUGACAUGACAAUAACAAGACAGCAUUUGUGCCAUAUCCAUUUUUUUCUGAUAGAUGCAAAAGCAAACACACGUUGAUUAACAUGGAUCCAUUGAAUAACAGCUCCACAAAGCUAGCCUCCUACAAAAAGACAGUUUCUCGUUGAUCCGAAAAAGAAACAAAAUAUUAAUCAUCACUUUCUUCUCCUUAAUCAUUCUAUUAGCACUAAUAAUAGGCACCAUAAUCACAUCUCUUAUACG